rnacentral:lncRNA from 1 species
AACUCAAUUCAUAUAUAUAUAUAUAUAUAGAGAGAGAGAGAGAGAGAGAGAGAGAUGUACGUAUACAUGUAGUUGUAGAUGUACAUCUACAUAUACAUGUACGUAAACAUAUAUAGAGUUCAAUUACUAUGCUAUCAAUAGCAUCAAGCGCUUGAUGCUACCAAGUUUUCUGCCAUUAGAUCUACCUCUCUUUGACUAUUUUUAUCCGUUAAAUCAUACUAUUCAACCAACCGCCACUAAACUCUAAGAGACCACUAUUAUCCUGACUGUACAUCUCUUUAUCCAAUAACCGAAAACCUUAUAUAUAGCACCACUGACUCGGUGCUUUUAAAAGUAUAUUAGUCUAACUCUCUCUCUCUCUCUGUAUAUGUAUAUAU